GCCGGGGUCGCAUAAUCCGGUAUUGCACUCAGUUGAAACCUGAGGUGCCCUACACGGGCUAUCUGGGUUCAAAGCGUGGUGCAUAACGGUUUAAUGCAUCAGGGUGAAAAUCCCAGCCCCGGCG
rnacentral:tRNA from 1 species